rnacentral:rRNA from 1 species
UUGGCGGGAGGCAUCGUUGACUCGCCGGGGCGAGAGAACGACCCCUACAUCGUCGACCUCGCCCGCUUCGCUGUCUCCCAGCACAACAAGGAGGCCAAUACCCAGCUGGAGUUGGAGAAGGUGGUGAAGGUCAAGGAGCAAGCUAUUGCUGGCAGGCUGUACUACAUUACAAUCCAGGUUGAUGAAGGCGGGGCGAAGAAGCUGUAUAAAGCCAAGGUGCUGGAGCAGCUGUGGCUGGAUGUCAAGAAGCUCCUAGAGUUCAAGCCGGCAGAGGGUGCCUAUCCCAACGUCUCCUAUUCCUAG